GAUGAACGCUGGCGGCGUGCCUAAUACAUGCAAGUCGAGCGAACAGACGAGGAGCUUGCUCCUCUGACGUUAGCGGCGGACGGGUGAGUAACACGUGGAUAACCUACCUAUAAGACUGGGAUAACUUCGGGAAACCGGAGCUAAUACCGGAUAAUAUAUUGAACCGCAUGGUUCAAUAGUGAAAGACGGUUUUGCUGUAACUUAUAGAUGGAUCCGCGCCGCAUUAGCUAGUUGGUAAGGUAACGGCUUACCAAGGCAACGAUGCGUAGCCGACCUGAGAGGGUGAUCGGCCACACUGGAACUGAGACACGGUCCAGACUCCUACGGGAGGCAGCAGUAGGGAAUCUUCCGCAAUGGGCGAAAGCCUGACGGAGCAACGCCGCGUGAGUGAUGAAGGUCUUCGGAUCGUAAAACUCUGUUAUUAGGGAAGUACAAAUGUGUAAGUAACUAUGCACGUCUUGACGGUACCUAAUCAGAAAGCCACGGCUAACUUCGUG
rnacentral:rRNA from 1 species